ensembl:lncRNA
CCGGUACAGAGUCAAUGUGGAGGCUAUAUACAGGGGGUACCGGUACAGAGUCAAUGUGGAGACUAUAUACAGGGGGUACCGGUACAGAGUCAAGGUGGAGACUAUAUACAGGGGGUACCGGUACAGAGUCAAUGUGGAGACUAUAUACAGGGGGUAUCGGUACAGAGUCAAUGUGGAGGCUAUAUACAGGGGGUACCGGUACAGAGUCAAUGUGGAGGCUAUAUACAGGGGGUACCGGUACAGAGUCAAUGUGGAGGCUAUAUACAGGGGGUACUGGUACAGAGUCAAUGUGGAG